rnacentral:sRNA from 1 species
AGGGGCUGGUGGACAAGGUACCGCGCCCACACACGCAAUCAUCCCUAUCCCUUGACACUGGAGACGUACGAAGAGUUUGAGUCUUACAUAGAUGAUUUAAAAGAGACAUUCGUAGUAGCAGUAGACAGAUUUAACUUUCAAGCCUUCUGGAAUGAGACAGACAUUCCGGAGGAGUGGUGGACCCAGUACGAGGCGACACACACAAAACCAGCGAAGAAUCCAGACAGGAGUAAAACUGGGAAAGUUUCUUUCUGAUUUGUUUCCGUCAGUUUCUACAACAGACUUUGUCAUUUGUCUGAACCAAUAUGUACAUUGAAUAAAAGAAACAGUAACAAUAGA